GGAGGUGCUACAGCAAAGUUAUCCAUAUGCAUCAUAUUUACAGUGUCAGAAGGCAUACAAAAAGAGAAAAUAACUACUUAGCCUAUCUACAACAGCCAACAAAAAUAGGACUCUUAGUAGAUCAGGGGUCCAGAGGUCAGAUCUUUAACUUGAGCAGCUAGGGAUUUUGAAAUCAUCCAGUCAUCUGUGGGUCUGAGCUUCUUACAAUAUCUCUCCCUUCUCUAACUAUACAAGAAAGAUUUGGUUAUAGAAAGCAAGAAGCAUAAAAAAAAUCAUAA
rnacentral:lncRNA from 1 species